rnacentral:misc_RNA from 1 species
GAGGAAAUGAAAAUACCUGCGCAAAGGAUGAGCAUAAUUGGCCUAAGGGUCUUGAUAAAAAGAACAAAAUCUUAGGUGCUGGGGAAUGUAUUGAAGGGUCGGGCAGAGAUGAGAUUGUGCAGCAAAAGGAUAUUCAGAACUGGCCUUAUAGUUUAAAGAAUAAAACAGAAGAUGCUGUAAGUGCUAAAAAUCCGCGAUUACCAGUUGAAAUCUGGGGUAAUAAUGAUACUGAUGUUGAAACAGUUACCCCUUCAGGGUUGAAGAAUAAAAGGACCGCUCUUGAAGACAUGAAGGA